CGUGUAGGCGGUUUAAUAAGUCAGAUGUAAAAGCCCCGGCUCAACCGGGAUGGUCAUUUGAAACUGUUAGGCUUGAGUGCGAGAGAGGGUAGUGGAAUUCCCAGUGUAGCGGUGAAAUGCGUAGAUAUUGGGAAGAACACCAGUAGCGAAGGCGGCUACCUGGCUCGCAACUGACGCUAAGGCGCAAAAGCGUGGGGAGCAAACA
rnacentral:rRNA from 1 species